UACGAAGGGGGCUAGCGUUGCUCGGAAUGACUGGGCGUAAAGGGCGCGUAGGCGGAUGGCACAGUCAGAUGUGAAAUUCCCGGGCUUAACCUGGGGGCUGCAUUUGAUACGUGUUGUCUAGAGUGAGGAAGAGGGUUGUGGAAUUCCCAGUGUAGAGGUGAAAUUCGUAGAUAUUGGGAAGAACACCAGUGGCGAAGGCGGCUCACUGGCCCGGUACUGACGCUGAGGCGCGAAAGCGUGGGGAGCAAACAGG
rnacentral:rRNA from 1 species